UGAGGAAUAUUGGUCAAUGGGGGCAACCCUGAACCAGCGACGCCGCGUGAAGGAUGACAGGGCUUUGCCCCGUAAACUUCUGUCGGGAGGGAAAAAAGGACUGUUUGGCGGUCUGGGAUUGUACCUCUAAAGGAAGCACCGGCUAACUACGUGCCAGCAGCAGCGGUAAUACGUAGGGUGCCAACGUUGUCCGGCAUUACUGGGUGUAAAGGGUGCACAGGCGGUUUUGUGCGUCAGAGGUAAAAUCCCACAGCUCAACGGUGGACCUGUCGUUGAUACGGCGAGACUUGAGUACAAGAGAGGA
rnacentral:rRNA from 1 species